UGGGGAAUUUUGGACAAUGGGGGAAACCCUGAUCCAGCCAUCCCGCGUGUGCGAUGAAGGCCUUCGGGUUGUAAAGCACUUUUGGCAGGAAAGAAACGUCGCGGGUUAAUACCCCGCGAAACUGACGGUACCUGCAGAAUAAGCACCGGCUAACUACGUGCCAGCAGCCGCGGUAAUACGUAGGGUGCAAGCGUUAAUCGGAAUUACUGGGCGUAAAGCGUGCGCAGGCGGUUCGGAAAGAAAGAUGUGAAAUCCCAGAGCUUAACUUUGGAACUGCAUUUUUAACUACCGGGCUAGAGUGUGUCAGAGGGAGGUGGAAUUCCGCGUGUAGCAGUGAAAUGCGUAGAUAUGCGGAGGAACACCGAUGGCGAAGGCAGCCUCCUGGGAUAACACUGACGCUCAUGCACGAAAGCGUGGGGAGCAAACAGGAUUAGAUACCCUGGUAGUCCACGCCCUAAACGAUGUCAACUAGCUGUUGGGGCCUUCGGGCCUUGGUAGCGCAGCUAACGCGUGAAGUUGACCGCCUGGGAGUACGGUCGCAAGAUUAAAACUUAAAGGAAUUGACGGGGGUGC
rnacentral:rRNA from 1 species